GAACACCAUCUUUUUUCACAUACCCCAUCUCUGGUUGUCAGGCGAUUUCCUGCUUAGCCCUAGGGGGGUCGGAAUUUGGAAGAAACGCUGCUCAAAUUUGGUCUCAUUUGAGGAACAGGGUGGCUAGACGAUGGAGAAAAACGAGACAGGAUGCCAAGCUGCUCCCGAAGCUCCUAUCCUUUGUGUCAACAACUGUGGAUUUUUUGGCACCCCAGCAACAAUGAACAUGUGUUCAAAGUGUCACAAAGACAUGAUAUUGAAGCAAGAGCAUGCCAAACUUGCAACAUCCGCAAUCAAAAACAUCAUGGAUGGAGGAAACGACAAGGAAUCGGCUCGUGUCCCUUCAUUGUUUGGUGCACCAUCUGGUUCCGCAGCGUCAGAGAUGGCUCAACCAUCUUGCGGGUCACCGACUCAAGCUGAAAGCAAUAGCAAGUCCAAAGAGGGUCCCACCAGGUGUAUGACUUGCAGGAAACGUGUUGGUUUAACAGGCUUCAAUUGUCGAUGUGGGCAUAUCUUCUGUUCAGUUCAUCGUUACUCUGACAAACACGACUGCCCAUUCGACUAUCGAGCGACUGCAAAAGACGCAAUAGCCAAAGCUAAUCCUGUGGUGAAGGCUGAAAAGCUGGAGAAAAUAUGAAACAGCAGUCCACAAAUGUUUUUGGAAUUUACGUGAUCACCGUGCGUGCAAUUAGUAGGGGAUGGGGGUGGGGGUACAAGCAUAUCUUUAUUAGAGAAGGAAAGCGACGAUGAUGAAAGGUAUGAACCUGUUGACGGAAUGAAUUCAGAGCUUGAAAAAGGGCAUAGUUUUUGUUUAGUUAGUUAUGCGACUUUGUCCAAAUACAAAACAGUUCCUGGGUUCGACCUUGCUUCUCGGCUAGCUUUAGCUGUUAAAGUGAACCAAAAAGUGUCUUUGGAUAUUGUUGAUGUGGUGGUGUGAGGAAGUAGAAGUAGAAGUAGAAGAAUGAGGCAUUGUAGGAUUGGAAAUUGGUUAUUUAUUCCCCAAUGGAUCAUCGAGGUAUAUAAUCUUUAAAUCCACGCUUUUUUGACUUAAUAAAGAAAAAAUGGCGUCAAAAAGCUUGUUGAUUUAAUUAAAGUCAUUUUAGCUUUGUAGGUGGUUGUGAUGGAGAAAGGUAAAUUGUGUUGGGGGGUGAAGAUGCUACUAAUUUACAGCUGUGUGACACCUGGGAUUAUUUGUAUGUUAUGUUUUGAAUU